rnacentral:lncRNA from 1 species
ACUGGUCGACUCAUUUAACCCUUGUGUACUAGGGCUUACGUUAGGUAAUUACUAUACAACUUGCUAUUCUAAUGAGAAAUCAUCAAUUGAAAAGUUUGUAUAUCUAGAUUUCAUUAACCUAAAACUAUGGUAAGUAACGAACCAAACCGAUAAAACAAUGUUGCAUACUCACCGGGAGUGUGUAAGAUCCUUAAACAUGGCUUAACGGGGCUUACGGACCUUGCGUUGCAGAGCCAAGCACUCAAAAAGGUCACAAAAGAAGCCUCUCCCAAUCUCUUUCACUCUAUCUCUCUCUANCUCAAAAGUAACAAAAGAAGCCUCUCCCAAUCUCUUUCACUCUAUCUCUCUCUAUUUGAAAUCUCUCCCAAAUCUCUCUCUGUAUGAGAAAUCUCUCCAAGAAUGUGAAAUCUCUCCCAAAUCUCUCCAAGUAUGUGAAAUCUCUCCCAAAUCUCUCUAAGUAUGAGAAAUCUCUCCAAGUAUGUGAAAUCUCUCCCAAAUCUCUCUCGAAAGUUCCUUUAACUUUUUAUAGUCUUUCGGGUCAUCCCGACCCUUAACCGAGUCAAAAACCGCUUAAAACGGAGCAAAAUAGCCUUUAGGAGCCGAAACCCUCUCUUAAGAAGCGGACCCUCCUAAGAACUGAAGGUCCCUAUAGGGACCGAACUGCGGAAGGACAGAAGCUGCCUUGAACCGAACCCGAAGUCUCGGGCCCGAACCUCGCAUAGACCGAACCCGAAGGUCCUCUCGGACCGAACUCUACCUUCGCCUGCGCUCCAUUUCGGGUCCAAACCACUUUCGCCUUCGGUCCAUGACCAGAAGGGACCGAACCUCAGCCUAGUACCGAGAGGUCUCGCAGAAAGGCCAAAUUCACCCGGUUUUCGACUAGUUUUUCAUUUUAAGUCCGUUUUUAAUUAUUUUAACGCGAGAUUUUCACCCAAAAUCAUAUUUUAACAUAUAAAACCCCUUAUUUCUUAAUUAAUCACGUUUUUUAGUAUAAAUCUUAUCCAAGAAGAGUGGGUGAAGUACUUGAGGUGGAGUGUUGACUUCACUUUAGUUUAUGACACAAGCAACAACCCAUACCCACUCUAUGACCAAGCCACACCCCUCCCCACCAUACCUAGUCACUUCCUUGUACUUUUCCAUCAAUCUCCAGCCAUUCCCACGUCCUAAGAGCUGGAAAACUCACCCUCUCUCCUCAUUCUCACUCAUUUCUCUCAUUUCCACCCAAAGAGCAAACACUUUUCUCUCAACUUCUUUCUUUCAAUUCCGAGAUUUACAAGGCUUUUUCCAAGAAUUUUCUUCUUCAUUUGGUAAGUAUCAUCAUCUUUCAUAUUAUUAUUACACUUCUUCACUCAAAUCAUGAGUUCCUUACACAAAUAUCGUCAUAUUUGUUGUUAGAUCUUCGAAAUCUUCAAGCAUCAUCUAAGUGUUCUUGAGUUGAACACUUCUUUACUUCAUCAUCCAUCUAUUGAAAUCACUCAAGGUGAGUUCAUAC